rnacentral:lncRNA from 1 species
UGGAUCCAACAUCUUGGUUAUUAAUCUUCUAGCCUCUGAUGAAAACCAAGGUGGACAUUUGAAAUCACCCCUAUAAAUUUUUUUAUACAUAGCCAUAAUAUUUUCAUCUUGAAAUGGUAAAAAGCCAGCUAAAAGGACAUAAAGAAUUACCCCACAUGACCAAAUAUCAGCUUUUGCACCAUCAUAGCCUUUUUUACCAAUAAUCACUGCCAGCUAAAAGAACAUAAAGAAUUACCCCACAUGACCAAAUAUCAGCUUUUGCACCAUCAUAGCCUUUUUUACCAAUAAUCACUUCAGGAGCAACAUAAGCAGGAGUUCCACAUGUUGUAUGUAGU